AAUACAAAAAAAAUUGUUUGAAGGUUGAUCUGGACAGCAUAGACGUGAAUGAGUUUCCGAAGGUGCAGGACCUGGAAUUUAUGGACUGCAUUUUAGAGGAAGGCGAAAUGCUCUAUAUACCUCCGAAAUGGUGGCAUUAUGUUCGAUCUCUUACCAAAAGCUUUUCGGUUAGCUUUUGGUGGAGUGACAGUUGAAAAGUUCUCCAGGUUCCUGAUUUUCUGAAGAAAAUCAGAGGAAGAAGGAGGAGAAGAAGAAGAAGAACUGGAGGGGAGGGGGCUAACAAAAUCGGGCUGGAGGCGGAGGUGGAGGCGGGGCCGGAGGCAACGGCGGUUGGAGGCGAGGCUGCGAUGAGCUGCGGUGGGGCUGCGACGAGCUGUUGCUGCGACAAUCGGAGCUGCUACGACGGUCGGCCGGUCGAUCUGCCAUCAAUCGGCGACGGCAGAGGUGGAAGGAGGGGCCCUCUCUCUCUCUCUCCAUUCCCUCAUCUCUCUUCUCUCCCUCUGUUUCCCUCUCUCCUCUCCUCGCCUCUCUUUCUCCCUCUCUCUCUCUCUUGCCUUCGAUUUCUUCAGAUUCGGGAGAAUGAUUUUUCGGGGAAAAAAUCAUUUCUCUAUUUUUAUAGAGACUGUAGAUAGUUAUUUUAGACUGACACUUUUGGAUUUAGUGAUUGAUCAUAAUAUAAAGUUAUAAGGAAAAGAAUUGUUGACA